GCAUCUGCUUCCUAGCCUAGAGCAGUGGUGUGCUGGGACGUGACUGCAGUCUUUAUGAGCAGCUGUGUGAUAACCCAGCUCCCACAGCCUUGUGUGGGCUGUGGCACUGGCAUUGCAGGAGAGAUGGCAGCGCAUGAGCUGUGGGUGAGGAGCAGAGGCUGUGUUUGCAGGCUGCAGCAGCGUGGCCUCUCCCUCAGUAGCAUGUUCGGUCAGACGAUGCCAGCUGUUCUGAAGGCUUGGUGAGCUGGAGGGAGAAAUGAUCUGACAUCUGCAAGAGUUUUUCAAGAAGCUGCUUGUAAUAAGAAAAAGUAAAUGUCUGACACGAGUGUUUUAA